rnacentral:rRNA from 1 species
GUGAGGAAUAUUGGACAAUGGCCGGAAGGCUGAUCCAGCCAUGCCGCGUGAAGGAUAAGGUCCUAUGGAUUGUAAACUUCUUUUGAGUGGGAGCAAUAAGGAUGUCGUGACAUCCGAUGAGAGUACCAUUCGAAUAAGCAUCGGCUAACUCCGUGCCAGCAGCCGCGGUAAUACGGAGGAUGCGAGCGUUAUCCGGAUUUAUUGGGUUUAAAGGGUGCGUAGGCGGUUUGUCAAGUCAGCGGUGAAACGCAAGGGCUUAACCCUUGACCUGCCGUUGAAACUGAUUGACUAGAAUGCGGAUGCUGUGGGAGGAAUGUGUGGUGUAGCGGUGAAAUGCAUAGAUAUCACACAGAACACCGAUUGCGAAGGCAUCUCACAAAUCCGUGAUUGACGCUGAGGCACGAAAGUGUGGGGAUCAAACAGG